rnacentral:sRNA from 1 species
CCCUAGCCCUGAUGGAAGCGGCAUCCUUUACUGCCAGUUUUUGGCAGGAAAGAUAGAGCAAACAGCAGGAAUAAGC